rnacentral:rRNA from 1 species
CCCUUAGAUGUUCUGGGCCGCACGCGUGCUACACUGAACGGUUCAAUGGGUAAGGUAGUGCGAAAGCAUGACCUAAUCUCGAAAUCCGUUCGUGCUGGGGAUAGAAGCUUGCAAUUAUCCUUCUUGAACGAGGAAUACCUUGUAAGCGUGAGUCAUCAUCUCACGCUGAAUACGUCCCUGUCCUUUGUACACACCGCCCGUCGCUCCUACCGAUUGAGUGUUCCGGUGAGGCUUUGGGAGAAUGGCCUCAACAUGAGUUUAUCGUGUUUUGCCGUUUGAACUUAGUCAAACCUUAUCACUUAGAGGAAGGAGAAGUCGUAACA